UAUUUCAUAAAUAGCAAUCCUAUUGCUAAUUACAUAACAGAAAAUAACUCAAUCAAAAUAAAUCAUGAAUAUUUCUUUAGAUCUAAUCUAACACAUUCAUGAUAAAUUUUAUAAUUAAAUCUUUACAAUUAAGUCCUUUCAUUGCUUCAUCUGCAUGGGAUAUAAUUGUAGCGGCACCCCUACCGCCAUAGGAGACCCCAUCGAAUGGGAGGAGAGGACCUUUAAAUCCUACUUUUCUCCUAUGACCGGACGG
rnacentral:lncRNA from 1 species